rnacentral:tRNA from 1 species
ACUUAAAUAGCUUAAAUAUCAAAGCUUAAUAUUGAAGAUAUUAUGAUAAGUUUAUACUUUUUGAGUA